AGCCGUCAACCCUAAUCAGGGCCAUGCCCCACAUCAAAGCUGCACUCCCUCCACAGAGAGCUUCUGCUCUAAGAUGCAUUGUUCUUAUGACUUCCUACACUCGGCCUUGUCUGAUGAAUUAGGGCACGGAGCCCCCCAUGGCACAGCUGGGCCCUGCUGGCAUUGUUAAUGAGGUAGGAAGGGCGCAUUUGUCCGAGCCUGAGACUAACAUAAUCACAUAAAGCUGUUGCUUUGGAAUAGAUGGAGCUGCCCCAGAGUCAAUUUUCUUGGAAGCAAUGCAAAGCAGAGCUUCCUGGGAGAAGACACAAUGCCUCCUAUUGUCUCUGUCACUUCCCCUCCAGCCUCCCAGCGUUUCUGCGUCUCCUCGGGAGCCACUGCCCUGUGCAAAAGCUGUUUGCUGAUGCCCAGCCGCGGUUUCCAAAACCCCCAUGAGAAGUCGUUUCUGUCCAUAGUCAUUGUUUCCAGAACAGCCAAGCCGACUGGGGAGGAGAGGCCAGGCCCAGGGAGAGCAGGAAGAGACCCAGCUUGCAACACAGGCCCCCGGCGGCUGGAGUCGGCUGGUGGAUUGCUGGGGGGCAGCUGGUGCCAGCCCUGCUAGACGUGUCCAGGAUCGGGUCAGAGGCCAGAGUGGCUCACAUCCACGGGCUCCAGGAGGAGGCUCUCGAGGGCCCAGGUUCCUGGAGGAGGACACAGUGUGGAUUAUCCAGUGA